rnacentral:rRNA from 1 species
GAGUUUGAUUAUGGCUCAGGAUGAACGCUAGCGGGAGGCUUAAUACAUGCAAGUCGAGGGGUAACAGGGAAGCUUGCUUCCGCUGACGACCGGCGCACGGGUGAGUAACGCGUACACAAUCUACCUUUGAGAGGGGGAUAGCCUUUGGAAACGAAGAUUAAUACCCCAUACCAUGAUUAAUUCGCAUGGAUAGAUCAUGAAAGUUCCGACGCUUAAAGAUGAGUGUGCGUCCCAUUAGCUAGUUGGUAAGGUAACGGCUUACCAAGGCGAUGAUGGGUAGGGGGCGUGAGAGCGUGACCCCCCACACGGGUACUGAGACACGGACCCGACUCCUACGGGAGGCAGCAGUAAGGAAUAUUGGACAAUGGGCGCAAGCCUGAUCCAGCCAUCCCGCGUGCAGGAUGACUGCCCUAUGGGUUGUAAACUGCUUUUAUUAGGGAAGAAACCCUGGGAUUUAUCCCGGGCUGCCGGUACCUAAUGAAUAAGCACCGGCUAACUCCGUGCCAGCAGCCGCGGUAAUACGGAGGGUGCAAGCGUUAUCCGGAAUCACUGGGUUUAAAGGGUGCGUAGGCGGCGUCAUAAGUCAGGGUGAAAGCCCACAGCUCAACUGUGGAAUUGCCUUUGAUACUGUGGUGCUUGAAUCACGUUGAGGUAGGCGGGAAUGUGGCAUGUAGCGGUGAAAUGCUUAGAUAUGCCAUAGAACACCGGAUUGCGAAAGGCAGCUUACUGGACCUGUAUUGACGCUGAGGCACGAAAGCGUGGGGGAGCGAACAGGAUUAGAUACCCCUGGGUAGUCCACCGCCCCUUAAAACGAAUGGCUUUACCUCCG